GGAGUUAGCCGGUGCUUCUUCUGUGAGUGAUGUCCUUCCUGCCGGUUAUUGACCCGCAGGCCUUCUUCCUCACUGAAAGUGCUUUACAACCCGAAGGCCUUCUUCACACACGCGGCAUGGCUGGAUCAGGGUUGCCCCCAUUGUCCAAUAUUCCCCACUGCUGCCUCCCGUAGGAGUCUGGGCCGUGUCUCAGUCCCAGUGUGGCUGAUCAUCCUCUCAGACCAGCUACGGAUCGUCGCCUUGGUGAGCCGUUACCUCACCAACCAGCUAAUCCGACAUAGGCUCAUCCGAUAGCGCGAGGCCCGAAGGUCCCCCGCUUUCCCCCGUAGGGAGUAUGCGGUAUUAGCCUGGGUUUCCCCAGGUUAUCCCCCACUACCGGGCAGAUUCCUAUGCAUUACUCACCCGUCCGCCGCUCGCCACCAGGGAGCAAGCUCCCCGUGCUGCCGCUCGACUUGCAUGUGUUAGGCCUUCCGCCAGCGUUCAAUCUGAGCCAUGAUCAAAACUCUGA
rnacentral:rRNA from 1 species